rnacentral:rRNA from 1 species
UAUUGCACAAUGGGGGAAACCCUGAUGCAGUGACGCCGCGUGAGUGAAGAAGUAUUUCGGUAUGUAAAGCUCUAUCAGCAGGGAAGAAAAUGACGGUACUUGACUAAGAGGCCCCGGCUACCUACGUGACAGCAGCCGCGGUAAUACGUAGGGGGCAAGCGUUAUCCGGAUUUACUGGGUGUAAAGGGAGCGUAGACGGUAAAGCAAGUCUGAAGUGAAAGCCCGGGGCUUAACCCCGGGACUGCUUUGGAAACUGUUUAACUAGAGUGCUGGAGAGGUAAGCGGAAUUCCUAGUGUAGCGGUGAAAUGCGUAGAUAUGAGGAGGAACACCAGUGGCGAAGGCGGCUUACUGGACAGUAACUGACGUUGAGGCUCGAAAGCGUGGGGAGCAAACAGG